GGAAGGCAGCAGGCGCGCAAAUUACCCACUCCCGGCACGGGGAGGUAGUGACGAAUAAUAACGAUACGGGACUCAUCCGAGGCCCCGUAAUCGGAAUGAGUACAAUCUAAACCCUUUAACGAGGAUCAAUUGGAGGGCAAGUCUGGUGCCAGCAGCCGCGGUAAUUCCAGCUCCAAUAGCGUAUAUUAAAGUUGUUGCGGUUAAAAAGCUCGUAGUCGAAUCUGUGUCCCGCGCCGCCGGUUCAUCGCACGCGGUGUUUAACUGGCGUGUCCGCGGGACGUCCUGCCGGUGGGCUUUACCGCCCGCGAGGGUGGCGGCCCAACUCAAUCCCACCGCGGUGCUCUUCACUGAGUGUCGAGGUGGGCCGGCACGUUUACUUUGAACAAAUUAGAGUGCUUAAAGCAGGCUAAAACUUCGCCUGAAUACCGUGUGCAUGGAAUAAUGGAAUAGGACCUCGGUUCUAUUUUGUUGGUUUUCGGAACCCCGAGGUAAUGAUUAAUAGGAACGGAUGGGGGCAUUCGUAUUGCGACGUUAGAGGUGAAAUUCUUGGAUCGUCGCAAGACGAACAGAAGCGAAAGCAUUUGCCAAAAACGUUUUCAUUGAUCAAGAACGAAAGUUAGAGGUUCGAAGGCGAUCAGAUACCGCCCUAGUUCUAACCAUAAACGAUGCCAGCUAGCGAUCCGCCGACGUUCCUUCGAUGACUCGGCGGGCAGCUUCCGGGAAACCAAAGCUUUUGGGUUCCGGGGGAAGUAUGGUUGCAAAGCUGAAACUUAAAGGAAUUGACGGAAGGGCACCACCAGGAGUGGAGCCUGCGGCUUAAUUUGACUCAACACGGGAAACCUCACCAGGCCCGGACACCGGAAGGAUUGACAGAUUGAGAGCUCUUUCUUGAUUCGGUGGGUGGUGGUGCAUGGCCGUUCUUAGUUGGUGGAGCGAUUUGUCUGGUUAAUUCCGAUAACGAACGAGACUCUAGCCUGCUAAAUAGGCGUAUUUCCGACAUCUCAAAGGCCCGCCGGUCCGGCGCUCGCGUCGCGUCCGUGCGCGGUUUUUACUGUCGGCGUACACACAAUUCUUCUUAGAGGGACAGGCGGCUUCUAGCCGCACGAGAUUGAGCAAUAACAGGUCUGUGAUGCCCUUAGAUGUUCUGGGCCGCACGCGCGCUACACUGAAGGAAUCAGCGUGUCCUCCCUGGCCGAGAGGCCCGGGUAACCCGCUGAACCUCCUUCGUGCUAGGGAUUGGGGCUUGCAAUUAUUCCCCAUGAACGAGGAAUUCCCAGUAAGCGCGAGUCAUAAGCUCGCGUUGAUUACGUCCCUGCCCUUUGUACACACCGCCCGUCGCUACUACCGAUUGAAUGAUUUAGUGAGGUCUUCGGACCGGUACGCGGCGGCGUUUCCGCGUCGCCGAUGUUGCUGGGAAGAUGACCAAACUUGAUCAUUU
rnacentral:rRNA from 1 species